AUUGAACGCUGGCGGCAUGCUUUACACAUGCAAGUCGAACGGUAACAGGUUAAGCUGACGAGUGGCGAACGGGGGAGUAAUGCAUCGGAACGUGCCCGGCCGCGGGGGAUACCGCAGCGAAAGCUGCGCAAAUACCGCAUACGAGCUAAGGAUGAAAGCGCGGGACCGUAAGGCCGCGCGCGAUCGGAGCGGCCGGUGUCGGAUUAGGUAGUUGGUGGGGUAAAGGCUCACCAAGGCAACGAUCUGUAGCUGGUCUGAGAGGACGAGCAGCCACACUGGGACUGAGACACGGCCCAGACUCCUACGGGAGGCAGCAGUGGGGAAUUUUGGACAAUGGGCGAAAGCCUGAUCCAGCAAUGCCGCGUGCAGGAAGAAGGCCUUCGGGUUGUAAACUGCUUUUGUACGGAGCGAAAAGGUCUCCUCUAAUACAGGGGGCUCAUGACGGUACCGUAAGAAUAAGCACCGGCUAACUACGUGCCAGCAGCCGCAGUAA
rnacentral:rRNA from 1 species